UGAGGAAUAUUGGUCAAUGGGCGAGAGCCUGAACCAGCCAUGUCGCGUGAAGGAAGAAUGUCCUAUGGAUUGUAAACUUCUUUUAUACAGGAAUAAAGUGUACUACGUGUAGUAUUUUGUAUGUACUGUAUGAAUAAGGAUCGGCUAACUCCGUGCCAGCAGCCGCGGUAAUACGGAGGAUCCGAGCGUUAUCCGGAUUUAUUGGGUUUAAAGGGUGCGUAGGCGGGCUAAUAAGUCAGUGGUGAAAGUUUGCAGCUUAACUGUAAAAUUGCCAUUGAAACUGUUAGUCUUGAGUACAGUAGAGGUAGGCGGAAUGUGUAGUGUAGCGGUGAAAUGCAUAGAUAUUACACAGAACACCAAUUGCGUAGGCAGCUUACUGGAGUGUCACUGACGCUGAGGC
rnacentral:rRNA from 1 species